GGAGCUGUGGCUCAGUGGUAGAGCAUUUGCCUAGCUCGCAUGAGGCACUGGGUUUAAUCCCCAGCACCA
rnacentral:tRNA from 1 species